CCUACGUGAGGCAGCCGUGAGGAAUAUUGGUCCAUGGACGAGAGUCUGAACCAGCCAAGUAGCGUGAAGGAUGACUGCCCUAUGGGUUGUAAACUUCUUUUAUAUGGGAAUAAAACGUUCCACGUGUGGGAUUUUGUAUGUACCCUAUGAAUAAGGAUCGGCUAACUCCGUGCCCGCCGCCGCGGUAAUACGGAGGAUCCGAGCGUUAUCCGGAUUUAUUGGGUUUAAAGGAAGCGUAGGUGGAUUGUUAAGUCAGUUUUGAAAGUUUGCGGCUCAACCGUAAAAGUGCAGUUGAAACUGGCAGUCUUGAGUACAGUAGAGGUGGGCGGAAUUCGUGGUGUAGCGGUGAAAUGCUUAGAUAUCUCGAAGAACUCCGAUUGCGAAGGCAGUUCACUGGACUGCAACUGACACUGAGGCUCGAAAGUGUGGGUAUCAAACAGGAUUAGAUACCCUGGUAGUC
rnacentral:rRNA from 1 species